AGGUUUUUGCAAAUUACCUAGUGAAUAUAUUGUACAGCUCUAUCAUGCCUGUUGAGAUACUCUGUAGGCGCAAGAAGACUGCACAUAGAGACAACAUGAUCUAUGUUUUCAUUUUGUUGUUGACCUACACGACAUGUUGGCGAUCUUCCGUUCUUUAAUAUCUUU